rnacentral:rRNA from 1 species
ACACGACUACAUUAGAUACCCGUGUAGUCCUAGCCGUAAACGAUACUCGCUAGGUGUCGGCCACGGUGCGACCGUUGUCGGUGCCGUAGGGAAGCCGUGAAGCGAGCCACCUGGGAAGUACGGCCGCAAGGCUGAACUUAAGGAAUUGGCGGGGGAGCACCACAACGGGUGGAGCUUGCGGUUUAAUUGGAUUCAACGCCGGAAAUCUUACCGGGACCGACAGCAACAUGAAGGCCAGGCUGAAGACUUUGCCGGAUUAGCUG